rnacentral:rRNA from 1 species
CCUACGGGCGGCAGCAGUGGGGAAUAUUGCACAAUGGGGGAAACCCUGAUGCAGCGACGCCGCGUGAGUGAGGAAGUAUUUCGGUAUGUAAAGCUCUAUCAGCAGGGAAGAAAAUGACGGUACCUGACUAAGAAGCCCCGGCUAACAACGUGCCACCAGCCGCGGUACUACGCAGGGGGCAAGCGUUAUCCGGAUUUACUGGGUGUAAAGGGAGCGUAGAGGGGUAAUCAAGUCCGAAGUGAAAACCCAGGGCUUAACUUUGGGACUGCUUUUGAAACUGAGUAGCUAGAGUGCAGGAGAGGUAAGCGGAAUGCCUAGUGUAGCGGUGAAAUGCGUAGAUAUUACGAGGAACACCGGUGGCGAAGGCGGCGUACUGGACUGUAACUGACGUUGAGGCUCGAAAGCGUGGGGAGCGAACAGGAUUAGAUACCCGAGUAGUC